rnacentral:lncRNA from 1 species
GUGUGUGUGGAUACCCUUCAGGGGUCAGUUCUUUCCUUCUACCAUGGGAUCUGGAGGUUAAACUCACAUGACCAGAUUUGCACAGCAAUUGCUUUUACUCCUCCAGCCCUGUUCCUGUGUCUUCAAGAAGAAAAUCUAGCCAAGACUAAAGUUAAACUGAGGCUCCGCUUCAGUGACGGCCAAUACCUGCCAGCUCAUACGGGUUGUGUUACGGCUUAAGUCUGAAGCGUUUCCCACCAGUUCAUGUUUUGAUGCGUCUUCCUCAACUGCUCUGGGAGGCUGAGCAACUUGAGGAAAUGGACCCUAGCUGGAAGAAAUAACUCACUGUGUUAUGCCUACUUAGUGCCCGGAAUCCUCUCAGCAUCUAAACCAUGAUUUGAGGGACCUCUGCCACAUUCUCCAGCCACCGUGAACUGAAUGCAAAUAGCUCACCUCUACUUCAAUACUCCAUAGAUGCUCUACCCGACACCAUGUUGCUUCCUUGUUAGGAAAAUGGGUUCAGUCUGCAAGUAGCAGCAUCAUUAGAUGCUAGCUAGUGCCCAAACCAAGAAGGUCAUUCAGAUCAAAUCAUAAAAGUUGGAUGAGAAAUCAGUGACCUUCUGUACUGGCUGGUUUUGUGUGUCAACUUGACACAGGCGGGAGUUAUCACAGAGAAAGGAGCUUCAGUUGAGGAAAUGCCUCCAUGAGAUCCAGCUGUAAGGCAUUUUCUCAAUUAGUGAUCAAGGGG